GUUCUUUGAAAUUUUGAAGUUCCCAAUUUAACGCUAUCCCUACUUUGACAUGUUAUAUUCCAAAUGUAUUUAUUGAUACUGUGUACAUUUUUUGUCAUUUCUGAUGUCUUUAACAGUUGUUUUAUGUGUGUUUUUCAGGAUUACAUUUCUGUGCGGAAGGAUUAAAAAACUACACCAGACUGGUGGCCAUGACAGAUGUCAGUGGGAAAUUUAAACAUGGACUAGAUACUUUGAUGUGUAGCAAAAAAGUUCAUCGUUGAUGGUGGUGUUUUUCUGUGAUAUAUUGACUGGGAUAGUAUUACUCUUCAGAAAUACAGAGCUGUCAAUGCUGCAAUUUUGUUGUGAAAUUCACAAUCCAUGUCCAAAAGUGCUUGUUUUACUAUACAGCAAAGAAGGAGAAAUUGUACCGGGCCGACACCUAUAUGGCAAAUUCAGAAAGUGGAAUAUCUCAGCAACCAUAGGGUUUACAGUCAUGAAACUUCACAUACUAGUAGCUGAUAACAAUACAAAUCAGUGGCUAAAAGGAUAUUUCCAAGGCGAUGAAUUCCAUAUGUCAGAAGGAAAUUUAGAAUCGUACAACCAGUCAGCAGCUACCCAUAAACCAGACCAACCUAUUAAGUCGAGCGGGCAGAAGCUGUGAUUCCCAGUGUAACACCGCAGAAUGACGGCUAGUUUUCGGAUUACAUUUCUGUGCGGAAGGAUUAAAAAACUACACCAGACUGGUGGCCAUGACAGAUGUCAGUGGGAAAUUUUAACAUGGACUAGAUACGUUGAUGUGUAGCAAAAAAGUUCAUCGUUGAUGGUGGUGUUUUUCUGUGAUAUAUUGACUGGGAUAGUAUUACUCUUCAGAAAUACAGAGCUGUCAAUGCUGCAAUUUUGUUGUGAAAUUCACAAUCCAUGUCCAAAAGUGCUUGUUUUACUAUACAGCAAAGAAGGAGAAAUUGUACCGGGCCGACAC